CCUACGGGAGGCAGCAGUGGGGAAUCUUGCGCAAUGGGCGAAAGCCUGACGCAGCCAUGCCGCGUGAAUGAUGAAGGUCUUAGGAUUGUAAAAAUUCUUUCACCGGGGACGAUAAUGACGGUACCCGGAGAAGAAGCCCCGGCUAACUUCGUGCCAGCAGCCGCGGUAAUACGAAGGGGGCUAGCGUUGCUCGGAAUUACUGGGCGUAAAGGGAGCGUAGGCGGAUAGUUUAGUCAGAGGUGAAAGCCCAGGGCUCAACCUUGGAAUUGCCUUUGAUACUGGCUAUCUUGAGUAUGGGAGAGGUUAGCGGAACUCCGAGUGUAGAGGUGAAAUUCGUAGAUAUUCGGAAGAACACCAGUGGCGAAGGCGGCUAACUGGCCCAUUACUGACGCUGAGGCUCGAAAGCGUGGGGAGCAAACAGGAUUAGAUACCCUGGUAGUCCACGCCGUAAACGAUGAGUGCUAGUUGUCGGCAUGCAUGCAUGUCGGUGACGCAGCUACGACAUUAAGUACACUCCGCCGUCGGGGAGGUACGGUCGCGAAGAAUUAAAACUUAAAUUAGUAAGUUAGACGGCGUGAGACGUCGCCGACGGACGACGACGAGGGAGGUUAGG
rnacentral:rRNA from 1 species